rnacentral:rRNA from 1 species
AGAGAGAGACAUGCGCGCAUAUCAAUAAGCGGAGGAAAAGAAACUAACAAGGAUUCCCUUAGUAACGGCGAGUGAAGCGGGAAGAGCUCAAAUUUGAAAUCUUCAAGGUUCUACCUUGACGAAUUGUAGUUUAUAGAAGUGUUUUCUGUUAGUGGAGUGGCAAAAGUUCUUUGGAAUAGGACAUCAUAGAGGGUGAGAAUCCCGUAUUUGGUCAUUCCUCCUAGCGUUGUGAUACACUUUCAACGAGUCGGAUUGUUUGGGAAUGCAGUCCAAAAUGGGUGGUAAAUUUCAUCUAAAGCUAAAUAUUGGCGAGAGACCGAUAGCGAACAAGUACCGUGAGGGAAAGAUGAAAAGAACUCUGAAAAGAGAGUUAAACAGUACGUGAAAUUGUCAAAAGGGAAGCGUUUGACACCAGUAUUGUUUUUCCGAAAAUCAAUUACGAAUGUUUUGUUCUUGAGGAGUUAUGACUUCAUCGGCUUGCUCCUUUCUUUACGAAACUUUCUUAAUGCACUUUUCGGUUAACAAGUCAACAUCAAUUUCUUUUGUUGUAAAAGGGUAUGAGGAAGGUGGCUUUCUUUUCGGAGAAAGUGUUUAUAGCCUCGUACCUCUGCAAUCGGAGAGAUUGAGGUCUGCAGCGUAGAUCCUUCGGGGUUAGAUACAUUUGUGCUAGGUUAUAGCUUUUCAUAGACAACUUGUUGACUAUGUUUAGUCUUGUAGCUUACUCGCUUAUGCUAUUUUACCUACGCUUAGGAUGUUGAUAGUCACAGCGUGUAC